UCGUCACACUAUCAUUAACUGAAUCCAUAGGUUAAUGAGGCGAACCGGGGGAACUGAAACAUCUAAGUACCCCGAGGAAAAGAAAUCAACCGAGAUUCCCCCAGUAGCGGCGAGCGAACGGGGAGGAGCCCAGAGCCUGAAUCAGCAUGUGUGUUAGUGGAAGCGUCUGGAAAGGCGCGCGAUACAGGGUGACAGCCCCGUACACAAAAGCGCAUGUGCUGUGAGCUCGAUGAGUAGGGCGGGACACGUGGUAUCCUGUCUGAAUAUGGGGGGACCAUCCUCCAAGGCUAAAUACUCCUGACUGACCGAUAGUGAACCAGUACCGUGAGGGAAAGGCGAAAAGAACCCCGGCGAGGGGAGUGAAAAAGAACCUGAAACCGUGUACGUACAAGCAGUGGGAGCACCCUUUGGGUGUGACUGCGUACCUUUUGUAUAAUGGGUCAGCGACUUAUAUUCUGUAGCAAGGUUAACCGAAUAGGGGAGCCGGAGGGAAACCGAGUCUUAACCGGGCGUUAAGUUGCAGGGUAUAGACCCGAAACCCGGUGAUCUAGCCAUGGGCAGGUUGAAGGUUGGGUAACACUAACUGGAGGACCGAACCGACUAAUGUUGAAAAAUUAGCGGAUGACCUGUGGCUGGGGGUGAAAGGCCAAUCAAACCGGGAGAUAGCUGGUUCUCCCCGAAAGCUAUUUAGGUAGCGCCUCGUGAAUUCAUCUCCGGGGGUAGAGCACUGUUUCGGCUAGGGGGCCAUCCCGGCUUACCAACCCGAUGCAAACUGCGAAUACCGGAGAAUGUUAUCACGGGAGACACACGGCGGGUGCUAACGUCCGUCGUGAAGAGGGAAACAACCCAGACCGCCAGCUAAGGUCCCAAAGUCAUGGUUAAGUGGGAAACGAUGUGGGAAGGCCCAGACAGCCAGGAUGUUGGCUUAGAAGCAGCCAUCAUUUAAAGAAAGCGUAAUAGCUCACUGGUCGAGUCGGCCUGCGCGGAAGAUGUAACGGGGCUAAACCAUG
rnacentral:rRNA from 1 species